GCUUAGCCUUAAACUUAGAUAAUAUUAUUACACCCAUUAUCCGCCCGGGUACUACGAGCACUAGCUUAAAACCCAAAGGACUUGGCGGUGCUUAAUAACCCCCUAGAGGAGCCUGUUCUAGAACCGAUAACCCUCGUUAAACCUCACCCCUUUUUGCCUAUUCCGCCUAUAUACCGCCGUCGUCAGCUUACCCUGUGAAGGACUUAUAGUAAGCAUAAUUAGUUUAAACCCAAAACGUCAGGUCGAGGUGUAGCAAAUGAAGGGGGAAGAAAUGGGCUACAUUUCCUGUAAUCAGGACACACGGAAAGUGCUCUGAAAAAGGCACUAAAAGGAGGAUUUAGUAGUAAGUGAAGAUCAGA
rnacentral:rRNA from 1 species